rnacentral:rRNA from 1 species
AGAGUUUGAUCAUGGCUCAGGACGAACGCUUGCGGCGUGCCUAAGAAAUGCAAGUCGAACGGUGUCAGCAAUGGCACAGUGGCGAACGGUCGCGUAACACGUAGGCAACCUGCCCCGGAGUGGGGGACAACAGCCCGAAAGGGCUGCUAAUACCGCAUGUGGUCCAGUAUAGGCAUCUAUUCUGGUCCAAAGGAUUUAUUCGCUCCGGGAUGGGCUUGCGGCCUAUCAGCUAGUAGGAGAGGUAACGGCUCACCUAGGCGACGACGGGUAGGGGACCUGAGAGGGUGACCCCCCACACUGGGACUGAGACACGGCCCAGACUCCUACGGGAGGCAGCAGUGAGGAAUAUUGCUCAAUGGGCGCAAGCCUGAAGCAGCGACGCCGCGUGGGCGAUGAAGGUUUUCGGAUCGUAAAGCCCUUUUCCUGGUGACGAGCAAGGACGGUAACCAGGGAAUAAGUGUCGGCUAACUACGUGCCAGCAGCCGCGGUAAUAC